rnacentral:rRNA from 1 species
GACGAACGCUGGCGGCGUGCCUAAUACAUGCCAGUAGAACGCUGAAGGAGGAGCUUGCUUCUCUGGAUGAGUUGCGAACGGGUGAGUAACGCGUAGGUAACCUGCCUGGUAGCGGGGGAUAACUAUUGGAAACGAUAGCUAAUACCGCAUAAUAGUAGAUGUCGCAUGACAUUUGCUUAAAAGGUGCAAUUGCAUCACUACAAGAUGGACCUGCGUUGUAUUAGCUAGUUGGUGAGGUAACGGCUCACCAAGGCAACGAUACAUAGCCGACCUGAGAGGGUGAUCGGCCACACUGGGACUGAGACACGGCCCAGACUCCUACGGGAGGCAGCAGUAGGGAAUCUUCGGCAAUGGACGGAAGUCUGACCGAGCAACGCCGCGUGAGUGAAGAAGGGUUUCGGAUCGUAAAGCUCUGUUGUAAGAGAAGAACGAGUGUGAGAGUGGAAAGUUCACACUGUGACGGUAUCUUACCAGAAAGGGACGGCUAACUACGUG